GACAGAGGUGCCAAGCGUUAGGCGGAAUCACUGGGCUUAAAGCGUGUGUAGGCGGAUGCCUAAGUACCUUGUGAAAUCCCACGGCUCAACCGUGGAACUGCUGGGUAUACUGGGUGUCUUGGGUCAUCUAGGGGCUGCCGGAACAAAUGGUGGAGCGGUGAAAUGCGUAGAUAUCAGGAGGAACACCUGUGGCGAAAGCGGCGCACUGGACCACAACUGACGCUGAGGCGCGAAAGCUAGGGGAGCAAACAGG
rnacentral:rRNA from 1 species